rnacentral:rRNA from 1 species
UGCAGGCGAGGGGGCAGCAAUGUCACCGUCGUACGGGUGCGUAACGCGUAUGCAACCUACCUUCAACUGGGGGAUAGCCCGGGGAAACCCGGAUUAAUACCGCAUAAUACAGGGGGCCCACAUGGGUCUAUUUGUUAAAGAUUUAUUGGUUGAAGAUGGGCAUGCGUUCGAUUAGCUAGUUGGUACGGGUAACGGCCUACCAAGGCAACGAUCGAUAGGGGAGCUGAGAGGUUGAUCCCCCACACGGGCACUGAGAUACGGGCCCGACUCCUACGGGAGGCAGCAGUAGGGAAUAUUGGGCAAUGGAUGCAAGUCUGACCCAGCCAUGCCGCGUGCCGGAUGAAGGCCCUCAGGGUUGUAAACGGCUUUUAUUCGGGAAGAAGAGCAGGGAUGCGUCCCUGUGUGACGGUACUGAAUGAAUAAGCACCGGCUAACUCCGUGCCAGCAGCCGCGGUAAUACGGAGGGUGCGAGCGUUGUCCGGAUUUAUUGGGUUUAAAGGGUGCGUAGGUGGCUUUUUAAGUCAGUGGUGAAAUACAGCCGCUCAACGGUUGAGGUGCCAUUGAUACUGAAGAGCUUGAAACAAGUGGAGGCUGCCGGAAUGGAUGGUGUAGCGGUGAAAUGCAUAGAUAUCAUCCAGAACACCGAUUGCGAAGGCAGGUGGCUACGUUUGAUUUGACACUGAGGCACGAAAGCAUGGGGAGCAAACAGGAUUAGAUACCCUGGUAGUCCAUGCCG